AGUGAACGCUGGCGGUAGGCCUAACACAUGCAAGUCGAACGGCAGCACAGUAAGAGCUUGCUCUUACGGGUGGCGAGUGGCGGACGGGUGAGGAAUACAUCGGAAUCUACUUUUUCGUGGAGGAUAACGUAGGGAAACUUACGCUAAUACCGCAUACGACCUACGGGUGAAAGCAGGGGAUCUUCGGACCUUGCGCGAUUGAAUGAGCCGAUGUCGGAUUAGCUAGUUGGCGGGGUAAAGGCCCACCAAGGCGACGAUCCGUAGCUGGUCUGAGAGGAUGAUCAGCCACACUGGAACUGAGACACGGUCCAGACUCCUACGGGAGGCAGCAGUGGUGAAUAUUGGACAAUGGGCGCAAGCCUGAUCCAGCCAUACCGCGUGGGUGAAGAAGGCCUUCGGGUUGUAAAGCCCUUUUGUUGGGAAAGAAAAGCAGCAGGUUAAUACCCCGCUGUUCUGACGGUACCCAAAGAAUAAGCACCGGCUAACUUCGUG
rnacentral:rRNA from 1 species